rnacentral:lncRNA from 1 species
GUUAAUUUCAUAUCUAUCACAGGUUUCACAUCCUAGAGCAGUUUUAAGUUUUUGAAAUUUGUAUCUGAGCAUCCUGGUUCCUCAGGAACAAAUUUGAAUGAUUAAUUGGAUAUAUUCCACUCCACUCUACCUCAAGGGGUCAAAAGCAGGAUGCAGCCAUUUCCCCAAACCACUGCAUGGGGUGUGGAGCACAUUCAAGCUGGUUCCUUUCUCUCAAGGCUCAGAGCCAGAAGAGACUGCUCUCACAGGCUUGGUCUCAGGCGGGCAGAAGCGACCUCCUCCUACUUCCAUUCCCUCCCUCCGGUAUCUUUCACUCAGGACAUCACAAUCCAAGAAGUCUUGAUGACUCUGACAGAUGUCUGGUCUGACCAGAAGAGAAACUGGGAAUAAUCAUGCUUGCUACUUGCUACCUAUGCCAUUUUGAGAGGAAAGAGGGACAUCUGAGCCAUGUGAAAAUUACAGAACAGACGUGUCAGCAAAGCCAUAUUCCCUCCAAAAGCUCUGGAAAGAAUCCUUGCAGCUGCUAAGUAAAAAUCGGAGGCCAGUGUUGGGAUCAAGCCACACCAAGACUCAACAGAGAAGGCUGAAGUCCAACUGGAGUCUUUCGUGUCCAUGCUGAAGCUGUUGGACUAGCACUAAACUAGGAACCCCUGCUCACAUGGAUACUCUCGGGCCUGAGCGGAGACAUAACAUUCUGAUGGGGCAGUCAGUCGCCUGGACAUCAGGAGUUUGCAGAUGGGGGAUUUGGUGGCAAAGCAAGGGGUAUAUCCUUUCCCGUUCUUUCAGAUGCUGGCCAGAACUUAAAUGAACUAUUUCUGGUAUUUUGGGCUUUCUUACUUUCCCUAAAGCCUCUCUCUCUGCUCAUCCAUCAAGUGUCUGACCAUCUCUGAGUUGACUUCAACAGGGUGUUUCCCCCCUGCUCUCCUCCUCCAGGUAGCAGCUGGGAUUUACAGCUUGCCUGCUCUGAGGAAUUUUCUUUAAACACUAAUAAAAUUAUCCUCAAGUUUCCAUUUGAA